AUGCAUCUCUGACAGACCUGGAACAGUUAAUGCCUGCUGCUAAGGUUUCCACUACAGAUGCAAGAAAAAGAAGGUCCCCAUUCUUUCAUCUGGUUAUGGCAGCCCAGAUUGAAUGGGGAAAUACAGGA
rnacentral:snoRNA from 1 species